ACGAAAGCUAGCCCAAUCGACUUUAAAUUAAACUAUCACAGAGUUACAAAACAAAACAUUUAGUCAAACCAUUAAAGUAUAGGAGAUAGAAAUUCUAAUUGGAGCUAUAGAGAUAGUACCGCAAGGGAAUGAUGAAAGACAUUUUCAAAGUACAAAACAGCAAAGAUUACACCUUGUACCUUUUGCAUAAUGAGCUAGCUAGAAAUAACUUAACAAAGAGAACUUAAGCUAAGUACCCCGAAACCAGACGAGCUACCUAUGAACAAUCUAAAAGGAUCAACUCGUCUAUGUGGCAAAAUAGUGAGAAGAUUUAUAGGUAGAGGUGAAAAGCCAAACGAGCCUGGUGAUAGCUGGUUACCCACAAACAGAAUUUUAGUUCAACUUUAAAUUUACCUAAAAAAACGAAAUUUCAAUGUAAAUUUAAAAUAUAAUCUAAAAAGGUACAGCUUUUUAGAGCAAGGACACAACCUUUAUUAGAGAGUAAAUAUUAACAUAACCAUAGUUGGCCUAAAAGCAGCCAUCAAUUGAGAAAGCGUUCAAGCUCAACAAACAAUGCAACUUAAUCCCAACCGUAUUGCAUCAACUCCUAAUUCACCUCCUGGGUUAUUCUAUUUAAGUAUAGAAGCAAUAAUGCUAGUAUGAGUAACAAGAAUUAUUUCUCCCCGCAUAAGCUUAUAUCAGAAACGGAUAGACCACUGAUAGUUAACAACCUGAUAAAACCAACCCAAAAAUAAAACACUUAUCUACCCCAUUGUUAACCCAACACAGGUAUGCACUCAAGGAAAGAUUAAAAGAAGUAAAAGGAACUCGGCAAACAUAAACCCCGCCUGUUUACCAAAAACAUCACCUCCAGCAUUACCAGUAUUGGAGGCACUGCCUGCCCAGUGACAUCCGUUAAACGGCCGCGGUAUCCUGACCGUGCAAAGGUAGCAUAAUCAUUUGUUCUCUAAAUAGGGACUUGUAUGAAUGGCCACACGAGGGUUUAACUGUCUCUUACUUCCAAUCAGUGAAAUUGACCUUCCCGUGAAGAGGCGGGAAUACUAUAAUAAGACGAGAAGACCCUAUGGAGCUUUAAUUAAUUAGCCCAAACUUAUGAACUUCAAACCCCACUGGGAAUAACAUACUACCAUUGUUAUGGGCUAACAAUUUAGGUUGGGGUGACCUCGGAAUAUAAAAAAACUCCCGAGUGAUUAAAAUUUAGACCUACCAGUCAAAAUGUACCAUCAUUUAUUGAUCCAAUAAUCUUUGAUCAACGAAACAAGUUACCCUAUUUAAGAGUCCAUAUCGACAAUAGGGUUUACGACUCCUAAUGGUGCAGCAGCUAUUAAGGGUUCGUUUGUUCAACGAUUAAAGUCCUACGUGAUCUGAGUUCAGACCGGAGUAAUCCAGGUCGGUUUCUAUCUAUUAAACAGUUUCUCCCAGUACGAAAGGACAAGAGAAAUAAGGCCUACCUUACAGAGGCGCCUUAGAACUAAUAGAUGAAGUUAAGCUCAAUCUAACCAGUUUAUCCCUCUAAAAGCCCAAGAAAAGGGGGCUUU
rnacentral:rRNA from 1 species